UACGUAGGGUGCAGGCGUUAAUCGGAAUUACUGGGCGUAAAGCGUGCGCAGGCGGUCUGCUAAGAGAGGUGUGAAAUCCCCGGGCUUAACCUGGGAACUGCGCUUCUAACUGGCAGGCUAGAGUGUGGCAGAGGGGGGUGGAAUUCCCGGUGUAGCAGUGAAAUGCGUAGAGAUCGGGAGGAACAUCAGUUGCGAAGGCGGCUCUCUGGACCAGCACUGACACUGAGGCACGAAAGCGUGGGGAGCAAACAGG
rnacentral:rRNA from 1 species